rnacentral:lncRNA from 1 species
AAUCAUAGUUUAUAACAUGUUGUUUUAAAUCUCAAAAUAAAAUUUAAUAUAACUUGUUUAUUAGAUUGUUAGUCUAUUUAAAGAUAUGUCAAACUAAUAUAAAGAAGGCAAUAUGAAAUAACCUUUAAGUUGGAAACACUAGAGAGAGGAGCUCUCCCUGUUCUCUUCUCCCUCAACCCAUCACCUUACUUUCUCCACCGUUCCAACUAUCUUCUCCUCCCUUUUAAAACUCUAGUUGCGAUGUAGUUGCUGACAUUGUGGCAAGGCGAGUCCUAGCCUCCACACUAUGUUGGGUUUUUUAACGAAAGACCCAUCACUGAUUCCCUCCUCCGUUUCGGUGGUGGUUGUUGCUCUUUUGGCUUUGAAACAUGUUAAUGUCUAUUCUUUUUAGCUUCUCCUCCAUCGAUGGCAGCGAUAGCUUUCUUGAACCAUGGGUUAUCUUACGUCGGGUAUGUGUUUGUCGCUGGAAGCCAUGAUGGCAGUGUUUGGUAUCUGUCGGUUCUGCGGUGGAUUGUUUGGGCUGGUUUCUCGUCAUUAUGUAUCGUUCUGUUUCAAACUUAUUGGCUGGGUUGGGGGACGGGGGGUUUCGUACCACUUUUGUUAAUCUUUGUUGUAUUAUCCAUUUAUGAAUGAUUUGCGAUUGUUGGGUUAGGCUUAUGUUCCCCCAACUUUUUAUACUUCAUUUUUUAUUUUAUAUAUCUUCCUUUGCUUAAAAAAAUAAACUUUAAGUAGGUCAACAAGUCAUAUUAAAAGUCUUUCAAAAAGGUCACACAUUCCAAAUAACGAGCCUAUAUAUGAUAGGUAACAAGCUAGACUUGAAUUUGAUAUUUUGAUAUGUUUAUGACUCAUUCAUAUUGUUUAUGUAUCAAUUGGAAACAUUAGACCAUUAAAACCGGGUUGAGAUCCUCUCAAUUUCCUAAAAAAAAUAGGAAUGUCC